rnacentral:rRNA from 1 species
AACGCCUACGGGAGGCAGCAGUGGGGAAUAUUGGGCAAUGGGCGCAAGCCUGACCCAGCAACGCUGCGUGAAGGAAGAAGGCUUUCGGGUUGUAAACUUCUUUUGUCAGGGACGAAGCAAGUGACGGUACCUGACGAAUAAGCCACGGCUAACUACGUGCCAGCAGCCGCGGUAAUACGUAGGUGGCAAGCGUUAUCCAGAUUUAUUGGGUGUAAAGGGCGUGUAGGCGGGAAUGCAAGGCAGAGGUGAAAACUAUGGGCUCAACCCAUAGCCUGCAUUUGAAACUGUAUUUCUUGAGUGCUGGG